rnacentral:lncRNA from 1 species
CAACACAUGUACUCUUUACCUGCUUAUGCAUUCAUAGCGCAAGAUUUUACUACUCAAGCUGCGUUAUAUACUCAUCACCAAUACAUCGCGGGAUUCAUCAUGACAGGAGCUUUUGCUCACGGAGCUAUCUUUUUUAUUAGAGAUUACAAUCCGGAACAGAAUGAGGAUAAUGUAUUGGCAAGAAUGUUAGACCAUAAGGAAGCUAUUAUAUCCCAUUUAAGUUGGGCCAGCUUGUUUCUGGGGUUCCAUACUUUUGGGACUUUAUGUUCAUAAUGAUGUCAUGCUUGCUUUUGGUACUCCGGAGAAACAAAUCUUGAUCGAACCGAUAUUUGCCCAAUGGAUACAAUCUGCUCAUGGUAAAACUUCAUAUGGAUUCGAUGUACUUUUAUCUUCAACGGAUGGCCCUGCAUUCAAUGCGGGUCGAAGCAUAUGGUUUCGUCUAGGAAUCAGCAACACGAAAACUUUGUUAUAAGCUGCCCCCUUUCCUUAGCGGGAUCGGGACUAAGAAGAAUGGUUGGGAUAAACAAACAUCCAUCUCGUUCGUACUGUGGAUACCCGUAUAACCAUCGAAGACUGUUGAAGUGAUUAAUUCCUGUAAAUUAAGGGGCGUUGAGAACAAAGAAAUUGUUGGAGUUUCCGGUUUUAUCUAGUACCAACACGCGUGAUAUUAAGAAAAAAGCUUUUGCAGGAAGGUUGGCUAGAGAUUUCUUGUAAAAACAUUAGCCCCACUUAGUUCAUAAUGAGAAUAUUUCAAUCUUUUUUGAUUUCAUGGAUUAUUCUCAUAAUGCACAUAAAGGAGGAGCCGUAUGAGAUUUUCAUCUCAUGUACGGUUUUGAAACGGAGAAUUCUUUGAAUCGAAUGACGACCGUAACGGAUGUCAGCUCAAUCUGAAGGCAAUUAUGCGGAAGCUUUACAGAAUUAUUAUGAAGCUAUGCGACUAGAAAUUGAUCCUUACGAUCGAAGCUAUAUACUCUAUAACAUAGGCCUUAUCCACACAAGUAACGGAGAACAUACAAAAGCUUUAGAAUAUUAUUUUCGGGCACUAGAACGAAAUCCGUUCUUACCACAAGCUUUUAAUAAUAUGGCUGUGAUCUGUCAUUACGUGCGACUAUCUCUACUAUAGAAAGAAAAAAGUAAAAGAAAAAAAAAAAGGAGGGGGGUAAAGAGCAAAUACACUAAUAAAUACUCGAAAAAAAAAAAAUAGGCUUUCUACAUAUGCAUCGUGCAAAAACGAUUUUUAUCAGCUGUAGCAAAGAAAGAAACUUCAUAGAAGUCGAAAUAUGAAGAAAUCGAUAUGCCUAGAUAGUUUAUUCUAUGGAUAAAGGAUCUAAUUGAUAGAGGAAGCACCGUAAAGAUCAAUUCGCGAGGUUUUGGGCCGAUGCCGAUCCAAUAAGAACUGCUUAUUUAUGUCAUGAUAUGAGAUAAAAGUAAGGAAUCCACUUAUGUAAUAAAGUCGAUCCCCUAAGGUAUUGAGCAGCGCGGUGUAGCAUCAGAUCCCAAAGACAGUAAGCCUUUUCUUUCUUAGGAAGAAAGGGCUUUUUCAAAGAUUCUAUAUCAAUUUUUAUAUGAAACCGAGAUAGAUACCUUUCAGAAAAUUCUAACUAUAGUGGAAAUGCUUCUAUGUUAUUCUUCUGACGGUGGGAGAAAAGAUAAAAUGAAAGCAAAGCUGAUUAUUAAUUUAAUCAAAAGUCAAGUUUGAAACUCAUGCUCAUGGAAUUAACCUCUUUUGGUUAACCCCCCAAAAAAAAGAAUAAAGAUAAAGAUCG